GGGAUCAAAUCACGCUGAAAACUCCGGUUCUCGUUCGAUCACCGAAGUUAAGCAUCGUAGAGCCAGGUCAGUACUUAGAUGGGGGACCGCUUGGGAACACCUGGUACUGUAAGC
rnacentral:rRNA from 1 species